AGAGUUUGAUCCUGGCUCAGGACGAACGCUGGCGGCGUGCCUAAUACAUGCAAGUAGAACGCUGAAGAGAGGAGCUUGCUCUUCUUGGAUGAGUUGCGAACGGGUGAGUAACGCGUAGGUAACCUGCCUUGUAGCGGGGGAUAACUAUUGGAAACGAUAGCUAAUACCGCAUAACAAUGGAUGACACAUGUCAUUUAUUUGAAAGGGGCAAUUGCUCCACUACAAGAUGGACCUGCGUUGUAUUAGCUAGUAGGUGAGGUAAUGGCUCACCUAGGCGACGAUACAUAGCCGACCUGAGAGGGUGAUCGGCCACACUGGGACUGAGACACGGCCCAGACUCCUACGGGAGGCAGCAGUAGGGAAUCUUCGGCAAUGGGGGCAACCCUGACCGAGCAACGCCGCGUGAGUGAAGAAGGUUUUCGGAUCGUAAAGCUCUGUUGUAAGUCAAGAACGGGUGUGAGAGUGGAAAGUUCACACUGUGACGGUAGCUUACCAGAAAGGGACGGCUAACUACGUGCCAGCAGCCGCGGUAAUACGUAGGUCCCGAGCGUUGUCCGGAUUUAUUGGGCGUAAAGCGAGCGCAGGCGGUUUGAUAAGUCUGAAGUUAAAGGCUGUGGCUCAACCAUAGUUCGCUUUGGAAACUGUCAAACUUGAGUGCAGAAGGGGAGAGUGGAAUUCCAUGUGUAGCGGUGAAAUGCGUAGAUAUAUGGAGGAACACCGGUGGCGAAAGCGGCUCUCUGGCCUGUAACUGACACUGAGGCUCGAAAGCGUGGGGAGCAAACAGGAUUAGAUACCCUGGUAGUCCACGCC
rnacentral:rRNA from 1 species